AAUUCUUCAUCUAAACUAGAGAAUUCGCUCUGAAAUUUUGUUUAUACUUUGAGCAGCUGACUCCAAGAUGAGAUUUACUGGUGGAGAUCUGCUAGUUUCUUCAACAUCGUCAUCAAGAUGUAAGCUUCAUAUUCUCAGAUGGUCUAAUAUUAAAGAGAUGAACCCCAUUCAUAUGGAACAAGCCCACAAGAGCAAUUGACUUGAAAUUCAAGCUUCAAAAGAUUAUGGAGUUCAUGAAGAAGUAAGAGAAGGUAAAGGGAAAUACAGAGAGAGAGAGAGAGAGAGAGAGAGAGAG